AUUUACUUGCAACUCCACCUGCCCCAACAAAAGUCACAUCAUAAACGAGGGUUUCACAAGCCAUUCGCUGAACCCAUCACAUCACAGAAGCACAGUCUGGGAAAACUGUUCCGGGGCUGGCUGCUGCCUUUGAUAUGCCAGCCAAUGUAUCAUUGAUCCCUAAGCAGAGUGUUAACCACUUUGACAUGGCUGCUUAGGAAGUGUGGGCUAUGGGAAAAAGUUAAUGGCAACAAGUAGGAUGGCAAAGAAAGCUACAAUUAAAAAAAGUGAGCAACUUAAUGAAGUCUAGAAAGAGUCUCAAUAGAUGAACACAUAUCAAGUCAGGGAAUUCUGUUUCCCAUCUUGCUUCCAUACCUACUAGCAAGACAUGACUGCAUGCCCAACUCUGAUCUGUGGAACUGAAGUUGUGCCACAAGCCAAAGAUUGCAUACGGCAUGGGUUAAAAUUUUUCCAUCAGUUGACCAAAAUUGUCAAAGGAAUAUUUCACAGGUACAUUAGACUUUCAAAUGAGCUCUCAACAAGAGGAAGGAUGCGGACAUGAGCAAAAGGAGUUACCUCGAAUUACAGGACUAUUUCCACAUAUGAACUAGCCAAGAGAGCAGCUUUCGUCUCAGAGGUUUCUGUUGGAGGCACAACACUUCUUUUCUCCAAGGACACUGCAGUUUCCAUAUGCUAGCAAAGAAUUCUUAGAACUUGUAAGCAAUGACAAAGCUAGCUAGUUACGGCAAUUUACCUACCAUUGAACA